rnacentral:lncRNA from 1 species
AACCAGACAUCCCCGAGGGACUCCUCCAGUGGCUGUCGUCGCGCUACGUGAGCGGGCCGACCUGCAGACCUUCCUGACCAACCUGGAGCUCAGCAUCCUGAGGAACGUGUCGCUGCAGCUGGAGCAGAGCAGGGCCGAGGCCCGGACAGAGGCUGUAGGCCCGGGCUGCAGUCAUCAUCACCCAGACCCAGGCUAUUACACAGAGUGUCCAACACACCGCCGUGGGCGAGGGACUGUCUGAGGAGCACAGUGCAGCUGAUCGUCGCAGAAUGCCCUGAAACUCUACUCCCAGGAUAGGAGGGCCUAGUGGACUACGCCCUGGAGUCUGGAGGUAAAGAGAGACCUCUCACUUGUUUACAUGAACAGAACCACUCUGUGGGUUAGAGCCACCUGUUGACAUGCCUGAACAGAACCAUCCUGUUGGUCAGAACCUCCUGUGGAUUAGAGCCAACCUGUUGACAUGUCCUGAAAAACCAUCCUGUUGGUCGAACCAUCCUGUGGAUUAGAGCCAGCCUGUUGACAUGUCCAUGAACAGAACCAUCCUGUUGGUUAGACCAUCCUGUGAUUAGAGCCAACCUGUUGACAUGUCCAUGAACAGAACCACUCUGUGGGUUUUGAGCCAGCCUGUUGACAUGUCCAUGAACAGAACCACUCUGUGGCUAGAGCCAGCCUGUUGACAUGUCCAUGAAACAGAACCACUCUGUGGGUUAGAGCCAGCUGUUUACAUGUCCAUGAACAGAACCACUCUGUGGGUUAGAGCCGCCUGUUGACAUGUCCAUGAACAGAACCACUCUGUGGGUUAGAGCCAGUCUGUUGACAUGUCCAUGAACAGAACCACUCUGUGGGUUAGAGCCAGUCUGUUGACAUGUCCAUGAACAGAACCACUCUGUGGGUUAGAGCCCGCCUUUGACAUGUCCAUGAACAGAACCACUCUGUGGGUUAGAGCCAGCCUGUUGACAUGUCCAUGAACAGAACCACUUCGGGGUUAGAGCCAGCCUGUUGACAUGUCCAUGAACAGAACCACUCUGUGGGUUAAGCCAGCCUGUUGACAUGUCCAUGAACAGAACCACUCUGUGGGUUAGAGCCAGCCUGUUGACAUGUCCAUGAACAGAACCACUCUGUGGUUGAGCCAGCCUGUUGACAUGUCCAUGAACAGAACCACUCUGUGGGUUAGAGCCAGCCUGUGACCUGUCCAUGAACAGAACCACUCUGUGGGUUAGAGCCAGCCUGUUGACAUGUCCAUGAACAGAACCCCUCUGUGGGGUAGAGCCAGUCUGUUGACAUGUCCAUGAACAGAACCACUCUGUGGGUUACAGCCAGCCUGUUGACAUGUCCAUGAACAGAACCACUUGUGGGUUACAGCAGCCUGG